GAUGAACGCUGGCUACAGGCUUAACACAUGCAAGUCGAGGGGAAACGACGGGGAAGCUUGCUUCCCCGGGCGUCGACCGGCGCACGGGUGAGUAACGCGUAUCCAACCUGCCUCUGACUGAGGGAUAACCCGUCGAAAGUCGGCCUAAUACCUCAUGGUAUCGUCUGCGGGCAUCCAACGACGAUUAAAGAUUUCAUCGGUCAGGGAUGGGGAUGCGUCUGAUUAGCUUGUUGGCGGGGUAACGGCCCACCAAGGCUACGAUCAGUAGGGGUUCUGAGGGGAAGGUCCCCCACAUUGGAACUGAGACACGGUCCAAACGCCUACGGGAGGAAGCAGUGAGGAAUAUUGGUCAAUGGGCGAGAGCCUGAACCAGCCAAGUAGCGUGCAGGAAGACGGCCCUAUGGGUUGUAAACUGCUUUUAUGCGGGGAUAAAGUGAGGGACGUGUCCCUCAUUGCAGGUACCGCAUGAAUAAGGACCGGCUAAUUCCGUG
rnacentral:rRNA from 1 species